rnacentral:rRNA from 1 species
CCCUUCGAUGUCCUGGGCUGCACGCGCGCUACAAUGAUAGAGCGAAAGAGUAUUUGAAAAAGGGUCUUGUUAGGAAUGCUUAUGGUAUUCAUCACAUCCCUUUUGGUCCUUGUUCGAAACAGAUUCUAGGCAAUCUCACAAACUCUAUCGUGAUGGGAAUAGACCAUUGGAAUAUGGUCUUGAACGAGGAAUUCCUUGUAAGCAUGGGUCAACAACCUAUGCUGAAUACGUCCCUGCCCUUUGUACACACCGCCCGUCGCUCCUACCGAUUGGAUAAUCCGGUGAAGAUGACAGAAGAUAGUUGUUAAACAUUCUAAAGUCUUCUAAACCUUAUUAUUUAGAGGAAGGAGAAGUCGUAACA